GACGAACGCUGGCGGCGUGCUUAACACAUGCAAGUCGAACGGAAAGGCUCCAGCUUGCUGGAGUACUCGAGUGGCGAACGGGUGAGUAACACGUGGGUGAUCUGCCCUGCACUUCGGGAUAAGCCUGGGAAACUGGGUCUAAUACCGGAUAGGACCGCACUUUGGUGUGUGUGGUGGUAAGGUUUUUCUGGUGUGGGAUGAGCUCGCGGCCUAUCAGUUUGUUGGUGGGGUAAUGGCCUACCAAGACGGCGACGGGUAGCCGGCCUGAGAGGGUGGACGGUCACAUUGGGGCUGAGAUACGGCCCAGACUCCUACGGGAGGCAGCAGUGGGGAAUAUUGCACAAUGGGGGAAACCCUGAUGCAGCGACGCCGCGUGGGGGAUGAAGGCCUUCGUGUUGUAAACUCCUUUCGCUAGGGACGAAGCUUUUUGUGACGGUACCUGGAGAAGAAGCACCGGCUAACUACGUG
rnacentral:rRNA from 1 species